UGAAGAGCCAUGUUUGAUCAGGAUAUUUCAGAGGAACCUUGAAUGAAAACAAGUUAAUAAAUCAAAGCAAUUUAAUAUUCAUAUUUAUUCAUCUUUUUAUUGAUGGUUCACAAUAUCUUUAUGUAAUGAUUUGUAAAGAGCGCGAUAAACCGUUCAAUGGCGGUUAACAAGGGGUGAAACAAAACAUUAAGAUUCUCUUUUGGUUUGUGCAAGUAGUCGCUUUGUAUUGUGGACAUUAUACUAAUAUUUGGAGUAAAUUAAAUAUUUUAAUUUGGUUUUGUGUUUAAUUUACCUUUGUAUAGCUUCAAGAAUCAAAUAAUCUAAAGACAAGGAUCAUGAGGAAACAAAGAAAAGCAUUGCUCAGAGGAAAAUAACUAUUCAUAGGAACACGUUUUUUCAAUCACCAUUUAACUUUUAUAACUGGGUCAAAUGAUCGAUCGCUCAAAUGAAGUUAAAGUCAAGACAAGUUGGAUCAAUGGAAGUGCAGAUCAUGGUUAAUCUCAAGUAUUUCCAAUGGAGUCAAGUUAAAGGCUAUUAAACACCAUUCGGUGCAGUGUAAAUAAAACACAAGACAAAGCUGGAUUGUCCCUGUUUAUUGUUGUGCUACAUUUUAAAGCCAAUUUCAAUGUAAUGGUAUUUCAUGGUGGCGAUAAAUAAUUUAUCUGGUAAUGAAAAACCGAAAGCAGUGUUCAAGUUAAUUUCUGGACUCAUAACGUUUAACGUUGACCUGAUAAUAUUUACAUGUUACAUGAUGGAUAUACAAGUACAUGGAUGAGCAUAUUGAUUGAUGUAAUUUUCCUGACCUCUUGUAUUUACUACUGGAUGGGUGUACUUUGAUACUUGACCAGAGGCUUUUUGUUGAUAAAUAAUAGUCGGAUAAACCUGUGAGUGAUCUGAUCUUACAAACAACAAUCAGAUCUUUUUCACGAUGUUUCAUGACUUACAGGUAUAACAGGUUUUUAUGAUACACAAUGAAACGUAAAAGUCUGAAUUGACUUACAACCGGAGUGCGUAUUAAUUUACUCAUGGUAUUAAUAAAUAUAAAAGAUUGACUUGUUGAA